AGUGAACGCUGGCGGUAGGCCUAACACAUGCAAGUCGAACGGCAGCACAGUAAGAGCUUGCUCUUACGGGUGGCGAGUGGCGGACGGGUGAGGAAUACAUCGGAAUCUACUUUUUCGUGGGGGAUAACGUAGGGAAACUUACGCUAAUACCGCAUACGACCUACGGGUGAAAGCAGGGGAUCUUCGGACCUUGCGCGAUUGAAUGAGCCGAUGUCGGAUUAGCUAGUUGGCGGGGUAAAGGCCCACCAAGGCGACGAUCCGUAGCUGGUCUGAGAGGAUGAUCAGCCACACUGGAACUGAGACACGGUCCAGACUCCUACGGGAGGAAGAAGUGGGGAAUAUUGGAAAAUGGGCGCAAGCCUGAUCAAGCAAUACCGCGUGGGUGAAGAAGGCCUUCGGGUUGUAAAGCCCUUUUGUUGGGAAAGAAAAGCAGCAGGUUAAUACCCCGCUGUUCUGACGGUACCAAAAGAAUAAGCACCGGCAAACUUCGU
rnacentral:rRNA from 1 species